rnacentral:piRNA from 1 species
UAGAAGAGACGUUGCCUGUCAUCCGAUC